UAAAUCCAUGGUUGUGAUUUGCUUUCAAAACUCUCUAAGUUUCUGUCACUGCAUCUUCUCUUAAUUGUCCUCCAUUAAUUAUGACCUAAUUUCAGGAUUUAAAGGAAAAAAAAAGACACUGGAACCUUUCACUUCUUCUCGCAGGCUUCCCAAUUCCAAUUUUUAUCUCGAUUUCAUUAGAGGUUAGAUUGCUCAGAGAAAUACUUACAAUUACUACAUCGAGAGACUUUCUCCCAGACCGGAACUUUUGUGCCAAAAGCAACCCAAAACAUUGAGAUGCUGAGAUGGAGAUAAUCGAAAGAUACAAGAGACUUUCUCCCAGAACGGAACUUUUGUGCAGAAAGCAACCCAAGACAUUGAGACGCUGAGAUGGAAAGUAACCUGAAGAACUUUCCUUGGAAGAGGGGUCGAAUAUGAAGCAUUAUGAGGUUGGUGGUGUAAGAGUUAAAGAACUUAAAGUAUUAAGAAAAGUGUUUUGACUAUAUUUCUACAAGCUAAAAGUUAUCACAGCAGGAAGUUUGAACCUACUCGAACUUUAUGGAGUCGAAGAACAACUACAAUGUCAUGUUCGUGAAACAUGUUAAGAAUUUAUGCUUGAACUUUCCUAUUUGCUGUCGUUUUUCUUUUAUAUUGCUUUUUACUAGAUAUGUUGUCAUUUUAAAUUAAAAGAGCAUGCUCAGUAUUUAACGUUGGAACCUGUACCAUCCAAUAGCUGACUCUUUUAAAAAGUUACUUAUUUAUCUAAACAAAUAUGAGUCCGCUGGUUCACGUCGGUCAGCCAGGUAACUG